rnacentral:rRNA from 1 species
UGGGGAAUAUUGGGCAAUGGGCGAAAGCCUGACCCAGCAACGCCGCGUGAGGGAAGAAGGUUUUCGGAUUGUAAACCUCUGUCCUUGGGGACGAAGAAAGUGACGGUACCCAAGGAGGAAGCCCCGGCUAACUACGUGCCAGCAGCCGCGGUAAUACGUCGGGGGCGAGCGUUGUCCGGACUUACUGGGCGUAAAGGGUGCGUAGGCGGUUUCCUAAGUCAGAUGUGAAAGCCCCGGGCUUAACUCGGGGGGUGCAUUUGAAACUGGGAGGCUAGAGUGCAGGAGAGGGAAGCGGAAUUCCUAGUGUAGCGGUGAAAUGCGUAGAUAUUAGGAGGAACACCAGUGGCGAAGGCGGCUUUCUGGACUGUAACUGACGCUGAGGCACGAAAGCGUGGGGAGCAAACA